UACGAAGGGGGCUAGCGUUGUUCGGAAUUACUGGGCGUAAAGCGAACGUAGGCGGUGUUCCAUGUCAGAGGUGAAAGCCUAGGGCUCAACUCCAGAAUUGCCUUUGAAACGGGAACGCUUGAGUCCGAGAGAGGGUGGCGGAAUUCCUAGUGUAGAGGUGAAAUUCAUAGAUAUUAGGAAGAACACCAGUGGCGAAGGCGGCCACCUGGCUCGGUACUGACGCUCAGGUUCGAAAGCGUGGGGAGCAAACAGG
rnacentral:rRNA from 1 species